rnacentral:rRNA from 1 species
AGAUUAAGUUAUUAAGGGCGCACGGUGGAUGCCUUGGCACUAGAAGCCGAAGAAGGACGUUACUAACGACGAUAUGCUUUGGGUAGCUGUAAGUAAGCGUUAAUCCAGAGAUUUCCGAAUGGGGGAACCCAACAUGAGUUAUGUCAUGUUAUCGACAUGUGAAUUCAUAGCAUGUCAGAAGGCAGACCCGGAGAACUGAAACAUCUUAGUACCCGGAGGAAGAGAAAGAAAAAUCGAUUCCCUGAGUAGCGGCGAGCGAAACGGGAAGAGCCCAAACCAACAAGCUUGCUUGUUGGGGUUGUAGGACACUCUAUACGGAGUUACAAAAGAACAUGUUAGACGAAUCAUCUGGAAAGAUGAAUCAAAGAAGGUAAUAAUCCUGUAGUCGAAAACAUAUUCUCUCUUGAGUGGAUCCUGAGUACGACGGAGCACGUGAAAUUCCGUCGGAAUCUAGGAGGACCAUCUCCUAAGGCUAAAUACUCUCUAGUGACCGAUAGUGAACCAGUACCGUGAGGGAAAGGUGAAAAGUACCCCGGAAGGGGAGUGAAAGAGAACUUGAAACCGUGUGCUUACAAGUAGUCAGAGCCCGUUUAUGGGUGAUGGCGUGCCUUUUGUAGAAUGAACCGGCGAGUUACGAUCUGAUGCAAGGUUAAGCAGCGAAUGUGGAGCCGUAG